rnacentral:rRNA from 1 species
ACUCAAAGGAAUUGACGGGGACCCGCACAAGUGGUGGAGCAUGUGGUUUAAUUCGAAGAUACACGAAGAACCUUACCUGGCCUUGACAUGGUAGGAACCCUGUAGAGAUACGGGGGUGCUAGCUUGCUAGAGCCUACACACAGGUGCUGCACGGCUGUCGUCAGCUCGUGUCGUGAGAUGUUGGGUUAAGUCCCGCAACGAGCGCAACCCUCGUCCUUAGUUGCUAACGGUUCGGCCGAGCACUCUAGGGAGACUGCCUUCGCAAGGAGGAGGAAGGUGAGGACGACGUCAAGUCAUCAUGGCCCUUACGGCCAGGGCUACACACGUGCUACAAUGGGGCGUACAGAGAGCUGCGAUACCGCGAGGUGGAGCCAAUCUCUUAAAGCGUCUCUCAGUUCGGAUUGUUCUCUGCAACUCGAGAACAUGAAGCUGGAAUCACUAGUAAUCGCAGAUCAGCUAUGCUGCGGUGAAUACGUUCCCGGGUCUUGUACACACCGCCCGU